UCGGAUUGCAGGCUGCAACCCGCCUGCAUGAAGUUGGAAUCGCUAGUAAUCGCGGAUCAGCAUGCCGCGGUGAAUACGUUCCCGGGCCUUGUACACACCGCCCGUCACACCAUGAGAGUCGGGAACACCCGAAGUCCGUAGUCUAACUUUCACGAGAGGACGCGGCCGAAGGUGGGUUCGAUAAUUGGGGUGAAGUCGUAACAAGGUACC
rnacentral:rRNA from 1 species